rnacentral:lncRNA from 1 species
UGUCUGAGUGGAAUUAGGUUUUAAAGAGUUUUGCAAUAUUACUCUCGGUCAGUAUUGUCACAGAACGAUACAGGAAUUUGGUGCAGGACCCUCUCACAAGAAAGAUGGAUUUCAUCACCUGUGAGUGCUGGGCAGGGUAAUGGUGGACGUGGAGCCUCUCUGCCCUGGACAAAACCCUUCCUGAAGAACAUUUUCCAGCAAGAAAAUGCAACACAAGAGCAUGUUAAAGACCAGGGGAUAGGGAAGGAGACCAAGCAGGACUUUAUGGUGAUGUAAGGGUGAAUCUUCUACACACACUUUCUUUCCCUGUUUUCCUUAGGGCUUAUCACGGUAGUGACAGGAGCUGCAAUGAAUUUCCUCCCAGAUGCUUCCCAUAGCAGUGUUUGACUCACACUGUUGUUAGUCUUGCAGCCUUUAACAGCAAGAACAAGAAUUGGUUGUAGCUCUCCAGCACCUCAGAGGAUUCCCUCUGCCAUGAGAAUGGUGUCAGGGGAGAGGUUGCAGCAUCGUCCCAAAGCAACAGGCGCCUCAGCAGGGGAUGCAGAGGAGUCCUGGGUGUGCAAGUGGUGUAAAGCAGGAUUUAAGGUGCACCCAGAUGGUCCCCUGCUUGUCCCCAGGGUUCACAACCCAGUUGCAUAUCCAGUCUCCAGUACAGGCUCUCCACAACCACCAGCAAAGCAACCUGCUGGAGCGCUGCAGUUUUGUGCAAAUCCCAGACCAAGUUCCCCAAGAACGGGCACUGCCAGGCUGCUUCAAACGGAUGCUCGGAGCAGCUCACACAUUUCUAAGGCAUGCAAGAAGCUGGGACGUAAAGCAACUACACAGCCACCCACAGAGAGAAGCCUGCCUCUCAGCCUGCUCCGCUCCAAAUACGGGCUCCAGCGUGAGUCAAAAUGAGGGACACCAGAAAAUAAUAGACUUCACAUGAAGAAGAACAAUAAUUUGCAGCUGUAAAUCACCUUUCAUCUACAGAUCACAGAGGCGUCUCAAGCACUCAUUAAAGCCGCCUUGCAGCAUCCCUGCCCCAUAACUAGCGCGGGGCGAUGGUUAUUCCAUCCACUGGCAUGCAGCCACAUGUCCUUGCAGGCACCUGCAGGAGGGAACUGGCUUGCAAGGUUGGUCCUGUUCCACCUCUCACAGCCACACCGGAGGUGCCUGGCAUGGGCGUCACCAACCUGUGCCAAGGUGCAGGCGUGUGUCCCCGGCAUGCAGAGGGGGCUUAAUGUCUGCUUGCACAGCAGGCAGGUGAAGGUGAGCCAGGGUUUUGCACCAGGGAAUGGACAACAGGGACAGAGCUCACUCAGGAUCUAAUCCACC